rnacentral:lncRNA from 1 species
AUUCCACCAUGUUGCUGUGUUUAGUUCAACCAGUGCUGAUAGGGACAUGUUUGCACUUGUCUCUCAGUGAACAUUCGCAAGAGAUUUUCUAGCCCUCCAGGCAGAAGCCGCUGCUGACGGGGAGAGUCUGCUGGAGGAAGUCGCACGGCAGAUGCCAGAGGACCAGCCUGGGAGAGCCUUUCUAGCAACCAGGACACCUGACGCAGUGCCCGCUUUCUCCAGGAAACAAGGACACCUGCACGGGCGCCCACACAAGAGUCGGCGACCAGCCUAGGCUGUGGGAUUCCUGCAACGCGUGUUCCUGCUGAGGUUCUCCUUCCUGCUGUUCUGAGCUAUGGUGUGGAUCACGCUCCCCAUAUGUGGAGUCCAGGGACAGCGCAGCCCGGGGCCUGCCCACCCAGCCAGGAAGUCUGACUUUCAGAGAACUGGGAAGACCAUCUUCCACUUUACCCCGUCUGGGAGACUGUAAACAUGGAUUCCACUGUCUCGGACAGUAAGAUGAUUCCCAGUCUUUUCCUGUUGCUCCUCUAGAUGCUGUUGUGGACGCAGUGAAGUCUGGCGAUGGCUGCUUCACAGGCCGUUAGGAUGGUGAAGUGAAACAAUGUGAAUGGAGUGUUUUGUGAGGCCCAGUGCUGCAUAAAUGCUAGCCAUUAUCUAAUAGCAAGAAUUGCUUGAAAUGUUUCUUUCUCUCAAAUUUAUGAAAAGAUUAGAAAAUAGUUCUAAAAAUUAAAAAUGGUUCUGGUCGGAGUGGCUUACAUGAUGGCAGUGAAAGUGUGCACAGAUUCACGGGUCCCACCACGUGCGCUUGGCGUGGAGAGAAUAAAAUGUGGAAGCCAGUGACACCAAGGACACCCCUGUGAGCCACGCUGGGUGCAGCCCCCACGGCCGGUGGGCAGUGACACCGC